rnacentral:rRNA from 1 species
AGCGAACGCUGGCGGCAGGCCUAACACAUGCAAGUCGAACGAACCCUUCGGGGUUAGUGGCGGACGGGUGAGUAACACGUGGGAACGUGCCUUUAGGUUCGGAAUAACUCAGGGAAACUUGUGCUAAUACCGAAUGUGCCCUUCGGGGGAAAGAUUUAUCGCCUUUAGAGCGGCCCGCGUCUGAUUAGCUAGUUGGUGAGGUAAUGGCUAACCAAGGCUACGAUCAGUAGCUGGUCUGAGAGGAUGACCAGCCACAUUGGGACUGAGACACGGCCCAAACUCCUACGGGAGGCAGCAGUGGGGAAUCUUGCGCAAUGGGCGAAAGCCUGACGCAGCCAUGCCGCGUGGAUGAUGAAGGUCUUAGGAUUGUUAAAUCCUUUCACCGGUGAAGAUAAUGACUGUAGCCGGAGAAGAAGCCCCGGCUAACUUCGUGCCAGCCGCCGCAGUAACAC